rnacentral:rRNA from 1 species
UACGUAGGGGGCAAGCGUUGUCCGGAAUCAUUGGGCGUAAAGAGCGUGUAGGCGGCUCGGUAAGUCCGCUGUGAAAGUCCAGGGCUCAACCCUGGAAUGCCGGUGGAAACUGUCAAGCUAGAGUCCGGAAGAGGCGAGUGGAAUUCCUGGUGUAGCGGUGAAAUGCGCAGAUAUCAGGAGGAACACCAAUGGCGAAGGCAGCUCGCUGGGACGGUACUGACGCUGAGACGCGAAAGCGUGGGGAGCAAACAGG